rnacentral:rRNA from 1 species
UACGGAGGGGGCGAGCGUUAUUCGGAAUUAUUGGGCGUAAAGGGCGCGUAGGCGGCUGAACAAGUCAAAGGUGAAAUCCCUCGGCUCAACUGAGGAACUGCCUUUGAAACUGUUCGGCUUGAGGCCGGGAGGGGGUAGCGGAAUUCCCAGUGUAGCGGUGAAAUGCGUAGAUAUUGGGAGGAACACCAGCGGCGAAGGCGGCUACCUGGACCGGUUCUGACGCUGAGGCGCGAAAGCGUGGGUAGCAAACAGG